UCCCUUACGUUAUAAUGACUAUAGUUUCC
rnacentral:piRNA from 1 species